rnacentral:siRNA from 1 species
CGAACGUACCACCUUGGGCGCCUU